AGCAGCAGCACUCGCCGCAGCAGCAGAAGCCAACGACGACUCUAACGGAACUGAAACGCGUAUCUUUUUUUCCUCGAACGAAAAACGUAGAAAAAGAAGAAAAAAAGGAAAAAGAAAGUUAUACACACUGGCAAAGAUUGCAAUCAUUCAUUCACAGUUCGAGUCCGGAGUCCUGCUCAAACUGUAGCUAAAAAAUUCGCGCGUGCUGCAAAAAAUACAAAAAAUCAAAGAGAAAGGAAAUUCGCAUAGAAAUAAAAUCAAAUUAGGAGCAAAGUGCGCUGUGCUAUGUGAAUGGCAAACAACAACAACAGCAACAAAUAGCUUUAAAACUGUUGAAUAUAGAAUGACGUUGCAGACAAAAAUCAAUGUAAAAUAUAAAGCGAUAAAAGCAACAGCAGCAACAAUAACAACAAUAGCAACAACAAAAACAACAAUAAGCGCCCGUCUGCGCCGCCGUUGACACGCACGCACCCAUACAAACAAAGCAGACAGUCAGACACACAGACAGCACACGCAAUCAUAAAAAACACGCACACACAUACACAGACACACACAAGCACACACAUACAUUCAGGGCAGUUAGGCCUAGCGCUGCGUGGGCGCAAAAAGGAGCAGCAAAUACAAAUUGUGCACAAAAACAACAAGCAGCAUAGCGCAACAGCGAGCAGGAGCCGAAGUUGAAGAAGAGGCAGCGCAACAGCAGAGCUGAUUAAAGCUGUGCACUAACAGUUAAACAAAAACAUUCGCGAACACACAAAAAAAAGUGCCAUUCACACACAAUGAAGCCAUCGGACUUGCUGCUGGUGUUGCAAAAGGUCAAGUUCAGGCUGCCCUUGCCGCCGGGCGUUAGCUCCACAACGCUCCUGCCGAAGCUAAUACGUACGAAGGAUGUGAAGCAGCUGCAGGAUGGCAAUGCACAGCCCACAAAGCCCAAGCUAACGGUA